rnacentral:rRNA from 1 species
AUGCCUCCGAGAAACAGGACAUAUGCAUCGGGUAGUAAAAAAAGGAAAAAGAAGAAGGCCGUAGAUAAAUUGGUACAAUCACAGCGUGGGCAUCUGCACUUAUAUUACAAGAGUACUUCCACUACUUCGAUAAACCCAGGUGAUGAGUUGGCGAUAGUUGCCAUAGAGGAAGAGCAACAAACUAAUGUGAAUUCAGAAUCCGAUCAGCAAGAAGAAAAUGUCGAAACCAACAUUGACGACAGCAAUGUAAGUGGCUCCGAGAAUGUAGGUAAUUCGUCGGAUGCACAAGAACAAUCUCCUAGUGUUGAUGAACCAGUCUAUACUCCUGAUAUUUAUGAUCCAAGAAAUUGGGAUAAUCUUGACAAUAAAGCAAGAGAUGUAUUAGUUGAGAAAGGGCCAAUGAGAGAGGAAUAGGAUAAAAUGGAAUACUGUGUAGAUGAUGCAGGAAGACAUUUUUCCUAUGCUCACUAUAAUAGGAAAUUAAGCAAU